ACGUUGUUCCUAGGCUAGAAUGUUAAACAACCCCAAUCCCAAUCCCUGGAUCCGAUCUCACGAUACCAGGGGCAGGCGGAGGCCGCCGCCGUUGUGCUCCUCCUGCCGCUCACCCCGACCACCACUGCGGCAACGACGACGACAAGGAUGGAGACAAGGCGGCAGCGCCGUCUCCAGUGCAAUCCGGAGCGCGCCGUCCACGCCGCCGAACCGGCUAUCCUGUGAACCUCUCGGUCCACGUCAUUCACGCUGGGCUUCCCACCAUUGAUCGACUUCGCCUUUCCCGUCCCGAUGCAGCGACCGCCCGCCCACGUGCCCUGGACCUUCCGCCGGCUCCCGGAUCCAUCUGCCUCUUGCAGCCGUCGCCAGCCCCCUUCUACCUCGAGAUUUUAAUUAAAUACUACUAAAGAUAGGUCUAGGCCAAACGCGGCAGCAGAGUCCGGGUGAGAAACGGGGGGUGGAGACGAUGCAGGAGAGGGCAAGAGAUAGAGCGAGAGUGGAGUCGUCGGAGCUGCCGAUGUGGGGUGAAACGGAGAUCACCGGCGGGGAUUUCUCGAGGCUGCACCACCGAAUCAAAAUCCUAGGCGCCGUGAAUGUGGCCAGCUUUGAUUGGCUAACUAAGGAGUGCUGGGUAGGUGGGGAAGAUGCACGUGUCGCGACGGUGCAUCGGAAAUUGGCGAAGGCUCGUCUCGGCAAACAAGAAGCUAUGGAUAUAUGCGCGUCUAGCCGCAAGCCGUCUUCGUUGUUGUUCAUGGAGUCCAACAGUAUUCUACACACGAAUGACAUCCAUUGAGGAGAUCGCUUAAAUAGCAUCGGAUGCCACACAAGCCUGAUGGCUAAUGUUUCCGCUCCGUUGACGACCCCCACCGACGCCUCCAAUGACAUAAGACUUGUUCUACCCGGUCAGUACCUGUAUCCUCCUUUGGUAAUCAUCUAUUUCCAGUUCUUUAUGCAUGCUCCGAUGACAUAAGUUUGCUGACCGCAUUCUAGAUUUAUGUGAUGAUUUGCUUGUGUCAGGUGCAAAAUCAGACAGAUUCUCUAUGGACAAGAAUCUGGGGAAAAAAGGAUCCCUACCCUACUGAAUUAUGUCUCAUAUCAACUCUCCUGCUGAUAUUCUUUUUGGUCUAAGAUUAUAUAUAGGUUCAGAUUAUAUCAUUCUGCAGUGUUGUUGCCGAAUGCUCCAGCUUUUAUGAUUAUCUUUCCAUAAUUUAGCAGCAUCUGCUAUUAACGGUGUGACUUAUUCCUUUCCAAGAAGUUAUGACUUAUUGCAUUCAGCAUUACCUUUAUCUAUAAUUUCUAUUCCAUAAAUCAUAAACAAAAGAAUCUAUGAUGUGUACUGGCAAGAGGGAGGAACUAAUGAAAAAAAAUUAGUUUCCAGAAAGCAGUUUAUGAGGGACCUGUAGUUCAGUUUUACGGCGUUGAUGGCAACUUCUCUAUACCUAAAUACUAAACGUUCAACUACUUUUUUGCGCCUCCUGUUGUCUUUCGCCGUUUGCAUCACUUACUCCAGGUUGUUGUGGUGUUGAUGGGGUGUGUGUUGUGGGUAAAAUUCAACAACGUUGUUCCUAGGCUAGAAUGUUAAACAACAAGGUGUAUUCCUCUUAAGAACAAAGCUAUUGAGGGUUAUCUUUCGGAUUAAGCAUUAGAUACUUGGUGUGUCUCUAAUUCAUAAGUAAUUUAAAUAAUUCCACUUGCAUCCAUGUUCGGAUUGGUUACCUCUUUCGAGUUGUUCUUGCUUCUUGUUUUAUUAUAUAUGUCAAAUGCAAAAGAUUGAUAAUUUCCUCUGUUUUUUAAGCCCGAUUUAAGGUGUUGUUAUACCAUACAGAGGUAAUGGACUAUUACAGUGUAGUUCCCAUCAGACUGAUUUGUUUAUUACUAAUUCAUAUGUCUAUUUGACUUUUAAUCCCCGAAACGGUGCAUACCGCAAAUGGGUUGGUGUUUCGAGUAGUUCUAUCUUGGUGUGAGAAACGGUGGACAGAGAGAUUCUUAAUCUGAAUAUAGUUGGUCUUUCGAUUUGUUUUUCUAUGCUUAAACCUGGCACUUUUAUUCUAUAGCCGAGGAGGUCCUUUUGAUUGUAAUGGUCCAAGGUAGCUCCAUUUAGUCUUGAGUAUUGUACUAUUGCUCUUCUGCAUCCUCUUUUUAUUAUUUGCAUUUGACACUAAAGCGAAAAGUAAUAGCUAUUUCCUUAGGUUAGGCAAGAAAAUUGUUGGGUAAAUGAUAAUGGAGCCAAUAAACUAAUGUAUUUGUUCUUCAUUUUGAGCUUUGGGCAAUUUUCUUUGGCCACUAAAUCUCUGCUUGCUGGAAUAGAUAGAUUGCUAUUUUGGUGUCUUGUGAAGGACACAUCUAGGGGUUUGUAUUGUAACCUUAUGUCAAUCCUCAAUCGAUAUUUGGAAAAUUAUAUGUCAAUGGUUACUCGCUUCGCUGGAAAAACGGUGACCUCUUUUCUUUGCGAACUCUUUUUUUAGUUACAAGAUUGUUAAACAAUGGCUGCUAUCAAUCAGGUUACACCUAUAUAUCUAUAUCAUGCAAACUUAUGUCCUGGUAGUGGUUCAAUGUAAAGAAAUAGUGCAGUUCUUUUCUAUCAGGAUUUACUAACAAUGUUGCAGCGUUCUCAUUCCUGCCAUUGGAGGCCAUAUUGUGUCACUUAGUUCAAUAGAAGGAUCGUAAUUUCUAUACCCAAUAUUAAUCUUAAGUUGAAUGAAGCAAAGUUUAUAGAGGUACCAUUGUAAAUUUAAAGAACAUGUACCCCUGUUUUUGCCGAUUACUCAUUACCACCAAUGUAAAUCUGUCUCACUGAUUUUGUUGCUUGUAGUUCUAUUUGUGAUUAAAAAAUAAAUUUUGUUAAUUUAAUAAGAACCAUUAAGGGUUUGUGAGAGAGAUAUCUCCUUAAAUUUUACCAACAAGAGUUUUUUGCAAGUCAGGUUGAUAUCUUGGCUGGAGCGUUUGGAAUCGGCCCUUGCAGGGGAUGAUGGCUGAAAAAAAAGGAGCCGGGAAGAUGUCAAGGUAGGUGACGGUGAGGCUGGCGUUGGUGCCCUGGAGUGCACUCAGACUUUUUGAACUAUCAAAGUCAUAGUAGCAUCAGGAUUCAGGACACGGUAAUGAGCCGUACUGUUUCUUCUUCUCUCCUACAUGUUCUGUUCUUACACUAGAUACAUCUUUGACCCCAUUGAAGUAUAUCAUCUUCAGAUUAUGCUGAGUUGUAUUACCUUCACUGGUUUAAUGAAGAACUACAAGUGCGAUUUCUUGAUUUGCUAUCACUUAGAUUUAUUUAUGAUUCCAGAUUGAUAUUGCAAUGUGAAAUAUUCCAAACUUUAAUUGUGCAAAUUUAAAAUUUGAUCACUCUGUGCUCAGAUUUGGGGGUUGCCUACUAUUUAUAACCGGUACAUACUACUAAGCAGAUGCAGUUAGCCAGCUAGGAACCAACUAUGUUUUAAUUUGGAUAUUUAAGAAGGCAUGAUUUUAUUAUCAAAUAGAAUGAGUACCUUGUUUAUGUAUUGAAUGAAUUCUUACUAUUACUUAAUUUGUUGAAACUACAUUUGUUUGGUGUUUUCUUACAUUACAUAAUUUUCAAUUUGAAGUAAACAUUUGAAAUUUAUUUUCUUACUCUUGUUACACCUGAACAUGGAAAUUCUGUCAUCUACCUUCAGUAUGUGCAUGCUUGGAUUUGCUACCCAAAAGCAAUAAGAAUGCGCAUUGAGUAUAUGUUGUUAUGGUUUGGUAGACCAGUUGAUUUUGCUAAAUUUCACUAAUACUUUUGUCUAAAUACUGUCUCUCUACAGUGUUCCCUGAUGGUUGGGUGCUUGCAGUUUCAGUUUUUGUUGGCAUAUCAUGUGGAAAAAUAGGGUCUGGGAAAAUAUCAUGAGUAUGCCACAGAAGGAGAAGCUGUCGAAGGGAUUGACCGACCAUGACACCAGCUCCUCCUCCCACCGCAGACCUCGAACAUUCGAGAGCUCUGACACGCAGCCACUGCGCCGUGCAUCCUGCCUACAUGGAUGUUCCUGCCAUUUUUCUCCAGCAGCGGCAUCGCGCGUGAAGGGCAUGCGAUGGUGAACACUCUCAAGUGCCCUCUGCUGUAUAUUAUACAAGGGAGAUAAGCUGGAGCUCGGUGAGCUUGAUAUUACUUGAUGAGAACAUGAUGUAAUCUCUUCAUGAGGGAGAGAAUAACGUUCAAUUAGUAGCAACAAAGCAGGGUUCAUCAAUUGUGGAAGACAAGUGUAUGUAGUAUGUACCCGCACCUGUAAUAUGUAUUGAUUAUUCAUUCGGCUUCAAUUGGUUAUUUGGUUUUUGUUUUGUUACAUGAACAAGAAAUUAAGACACUUGAGAGUUGAGAAGAACUGUAAUUUGUAUGCACCCAUAGAUUUCACAGGCCGUUGUUGACACUGACAUUGAAGUUGUUGUUGUGCUAGAAGGAGUUGGUACCAAAUCCUGAAUGGAACACUUAUUGAGACUUAUUUCUGUAAGUGUUAGUUUUA